ACCUUCUUAUCACAGACAGUUCAUUACGUCAUGUCCGGCCUGGCUCGAGGUCUUACUCAACGUCAAUAGGUGACGUCACGCCAAUCGUCACGUGACGUCUGCUGCCAUAUUCUGUUAAUUAAUUAUUCAUUGAUCAUGUUAUUUUAUGGAGACAUUUUUUUUAAACUCUGGAAAAUAGAUAGGGAACAAUUCUAAUUAGUAUCACCACUACUAUGUAGUGCUAGCUCUCUCUGCUUUUAUUGUUUGUGUAUUUUUAUUUACACAAAAUACACACUUCGAAAAAUAUUGAAAAUUGAUAUAAAGGGGGGAUGGGCAGGCGGUUGGUUGGUUCAUUAAGUAGUCAAGUACUUUUAUGCCCGAUUUAUACAAACAUGAGAAUCCAGUGCUACUAAACGAUUGUCAAUGCAUAACGAGAGACAACUCGUACGAGCUUUAAUUACUAAAAUAAAGGGGGGGGUAUUGCUGUUAUGUAUUAACAAGAGAGAGAGAGAACAAUUGGUGCAUCAAAUGAGUGGAUUAUUUUGUCACCUGUUGAUUAUGUUUAAGUACCAGAGUCCAUCAAUUGAACAUGUGAGAACAAAAUCUCAUUAGACGCGUUAUUACCUCGGGGUCGACUCCAUUUUGUUUACUUAGCUGUGUAUAUGAUGUUGAUUUAGCUGUGUAUAUGAUGUUGAUAUGAUGUUUAUAGAUGUUACUGGAUAUAAUGUUGAUGACUAUAAUGUUGAUGGAUGUUACAGAGAACAAAUGUUGGUUUUGUCAUUCAGAUGUUUGAAGUAAAUGUUAAAAGAUUG
rnacentral:misc_RNA from 1 species